GCGAAGGUAAAAACACAGUUUGGUUGGUAGUCCAAACCUCGGUUAAUGCUGAGCAGUAUCCUUCCCCUCCGGGAUGUCCCGCCUUCAGAAAAAUA
rnacentral:ncRNA from 1 species